UCGUGCUGUUAAGAGAGGCAUUUUAUACAAACAUGUGGAGAAAGACAACAUCAAUCAAUUGGUUAUACCAAAGUGCUAUAGACAUGAUAUUAUCAGGACUUCAUGAUAACGUAUGUCAUUCGGGUAGAGAAAGAACUCUCGCUUUACUUCGUGACCAAUUAUGUCUAUUAAUGUCGACAAUUGGGUUUCGAAAUGUAACAGAUGUCUCCGAAGGAAAACAAACACCAACACACGUGCACCAUUGAUCAAUAUUGAAACAACAUACCCACUUGAGAUGGUCUGCAUGGAUUACUUAACACUUAGUGCCAAGGGAGGUACAGCAAACAUCCUUGUUAUUACAGACCAUUUCAUGAAAUUUGCAAUGACAAUACCCACAAAAAAUCAAAAUGCGAAAACAACUGCAAAAGCACUUUACAACAUUUUCAUAGUUCAUUAUGGAAUCCCGACAUCUAUUCAUUCUGAUCAAGGAGCAAAUUUCCAGUCUGAAAUCAUGAAAGAACAUCACCAAUAAGAAAAAGUCAAGAACUUCAGUCUAUCACCCAAUGGAAGAUGGAGUCUGUGAACGAUUUAACCGAACGUUAUUAGACAUGUUAGGCACCUAAGAAACAUCUCAAAAAACUGAUUGGAAGAAACAUAUACCAUCUUUAGUCUAUGCCUACAACAGCACGCCACAUGAAACCACUAAGAUCUCGCCAUAUGAAUUAAUGUUUGGCAGAAAAGCAAAUUACCCAUUGAUUCAGUGUUUGCUCAAGCUACAGAAGAAACAACAUCAAAAACACCAACAGAAUAUAUAGAUGACCUCAAGAAUUAUAUUAGCGCAACAAGACAGACAGUAGAAGAACAUACAAAAAGAGAAAAGGAGAAACAAAAGAAAUAUUUUGAGAGAAAGGCUAAAGCAGGAACAAUUUCAGUGGAAAUCAAGGUGUUAGUGAAUAUAUUGAAAUAUGAUGAUAAACACACGAUUGCAGAUAAAUUUGAAGAAAAGCUUUUUGAUGUUAUAGACCAGCCUUUACCAGAUAUACCAGUGUUAAAGGUAAAGUCAGAACAUAAUGGUAUUAUAAAGACAUUACACAGGAAUCAUUAGUAUCUAGUACAAGAACACAUCAGAAGUGGUUCGGAAGAGUUAAAUAUGAGAAUUGAAAAUGUAGAGAGUGUGAGCAAUAAUGAAUACAGAGCGGUACCGAAAAUCAGAAUGUCUUCCAACAAAGACACAAAGAUAGGAAGUGAAGGAUCAAAUAAAAGAGAGAGCGAAACAAAAGAUAAAAGUAAAGGUGACGUCACAAAAAACGAAUCAGAGAAUUCAGAAGAUACAGAUUCAGAUUGGGAGCAGUUAUGUAUUUUAUACAUGCGGCAGUGGGGACGCCCAUAAAAAUCCAAAGAAGAACAGGGAUGAUAAUAAUUUUAUAGAAGUAGAACAAAAGAACAACUAAAAUGAUUGUAAUACGAAGACUCAUGAACAUACUGACUCUAAAGAAGAAGACCAUAGUGAUCAAGAGCUAGGAGUAGAUAUUGAGGACGGUGUGGAGAGUGUUGGAGCAGACACUUUACUAGAUGAGGAACCACAAGAAACAUUACAUCAGGAAAUAGAGGAAACAACAGAGGAAUUAAAAGAUUCAAAUGAACACAGUAUUGAACAUACCGAUUAUGACAUUCCUGAACCAAGUCAUAUAGUGGAUUCUUAUGACAGUGAUAUAGAAAAUACUGAGAUAAAGUAAAUAGAGGUGGAGAAUGAACAAAACAUACACAUGAGGAACAAAAUACACAUGAUGAACAUAGUACACAGAAUGAUCAACAUAUUGAAACUGAAGAAAGACAAGGAAUUGAAAAUAGAGAGGAAACCCUUCUACCUUAACCUACUCCUAGAAAGUCUAAAAGAGAGAGAAGACAACCAAAAUGGUUUGACUCCUAUCAAAUAAACCGGAUGGUGCGGUGAGACCGUAUGACUCUAAGCUUCAUGCUUUAAAUGUACUUAUGACAUCAGGAGUACUCAAUGAUGUGGAUUCUGAAGUAGCACAUAAAGUUGUAGACGAGGAAAUGAAUGAUUUUGAAAUGUUUUGUCGAAAUACAAAUUUUGCAUUGAAAUGAAAUGUACAAAUAAAGAUUAAAUGUCCUUACUUAAGGCAUACAUUUAUCUAUGUUUAUGAUUUCUGAAAAGACAGAAUUACAAGGUUGCAAUUCAGAGAGAGGGGAUAAAAUAAUAUAUGUUUAACCAGUUUUAAAAUUAAAUCACAUCAUUUUUUAUUUAUUAAAUAAGUAAAAUUUGAUGAUUUAUUUAAUUAUUUAUUAGUUUUAAGUCAUUUAAUAAUACUAAAUAAAUUUAAUGAUGUGUACAAUUCAGGUCUAAAAUCAAAAUCAAAGAAUGAUUUAAUGUUAUAUUGCGUAAUCAAUUACUUGUGGAUAAGGGUCACCAGUAAAAGUUGUGUGUCAAUUGUACGGUGCAACAUAAAGCUUUAAAUAGGGUGGAAAGGAGUAGAGAUAAACUAUAUAUUGUUAUGUAGUUGAUUUUUGUACGAGACACGGUUAUUGACUUGUGACUAAGACGGACCUGAUUGAAUGACGAGACGUCAUUUUCCAAGGAGGGGAAGUGUGUAACAGGGUCAUCUUUUCGUGUUUUAGAUAUAGUUGGGUUGAUUUGAGUUACUUCCCUUGUAUUAUUAUUUUUAAUUGUAUUUUUGACCAAUCAGAUGAUCGCUUUGAAUUUCCCUCCAAAUGUGUUUAGUUUUAUGAUUUUUGCGGGAGUUGAAAAUAGAGAAUAAUUGGGUUUAUGAUUUGUUUUAUUCGUUUUAUGGAUUUGGAAUAGGUAUUAUGGUAUAUUUUAAAGUUUAUUGUUGGGCAAUAACUACUAUAUUUCAUGUAAACAGUGUAAAUUUAUUUGGAGAAGUAAAUUCAUGAUUUUCAUGUUUUUAGAAUUUGAGUAAAGAAUUGAGAUGGUUCAGAAAUAGCAUUCCUUUUUAACUUCACUUAACUCUUUGUCGUGCACAUUGUUCUUAAUAAUAUGCAUUCUUUAUUUGAUAAUUUGCAGCACCCAAUCACUGUGUGAAUGAAGUGUUUGUUGAUUGGAGUAAAGUUAAUUAGAUGGUUUGAGAUUGUUUAGAGCAUACAAUUCCACAAAAUGUGUGCUGGACUUGUUAACUAAGUUCUCAAGUUGACUGUUGAUAAAAGUGGAAGCAAAGUGCAGAAACAGUGAAUUUAUGGUUUGAGACAUUUUAAGAGUAAUACAGUGUUGAUUUAUAUUCAUUUGUUUAUCAACAUAGUAACACAAUGAACUAUUAAUAAAUCUAUAUGUGCACCCAAGCCUAUUUCGAUUUGUAAUAUUUUAUUUAGAUGCAAAAUAACCAUAGGUUGAAUUAUAAAUAUUAGUUUAUUAUGUGAUGCACUGAUGAAGGCAUAUAGCAGAAACGUGUACAAUAAAUAAUUACUAAAUGUUG